rnacentral:tRNA from 1 species
GAAGAUGUAGCUCAGUGGUGGAGUGUUUGCCUGGCAAGUACAAGGCCCUGGGUUCAAUUGCCAGGACCUCA